GACGAACGCUGGCGGCGUGCUUAACACAUGCAAGUCGAACGGAAAGGCCCUGCUUGCAGGGUACUCGAGUGGCGAACGGGUGAGUAACACGUGGGUGAUCUGCCCUGCACUUCGGGAUAAGCCUGGGAAACUGGGUCUAAUACCGGAUAGGAGCCAUUUUUAGUGUGAUGGUUGGAAAGUUUUUUCGGUGUAGGAUGAGCUCGCGGCCUAUCAGCUUGUUGGUGGGGUAAUGGCCUACCAAGGCGGCGACGGGUAGCCGGCCUGAGAGGGUGGACGGCCACAUUGGGACUGAGAUACUGCCCAGACUCCUACGGGAGGCAGCAGUGGGGAAUAUUGCACAAUGGGCGCAAGCCUGAUGCAGCGACGCCGCGUGGGGGAUGACGGCCUUCGGGUUGUAAACUCCUUUCGCUAGGGACGAAGCUUUUUGUGACGGUACCUAGAUAAGAAGCACCGGCUAACUACGUG
rnacentral:rRNA from 1 species